AAGUAGACCGCCUGGGGAGUACGGUCGCAAGAUUAAAACUCAAAGGAAUUGACGGGGACCCGCACAAGCGGUGGAUGAUGUGGAUUAAUUCGAUGCAACGCGAAAAACCUUACCUACCCUUGACAUGUACGGAACGCCGAAGAGAUUUGGUGGUGCUCGAAAGAGAGCCGUAACACAGGUGCUGCAUGGCUGUCGUCAGCUCGUGUCGUGAGAUGUUGGGUUAAGUCCCGCAACGAGCGCAACCCUUGUCAUUAGUUGCUACGAAAGAGCACUCUAAUGAGACUGCCGGUGACAAACCG
rnacentral:rRNA from 1 species